CUGGGGAACUGGAAAUGUUAUUAUGAUAAUUCACGUUGACAAACCUGCGUCUGCUUUGGAAUAUGAAAUAAAUAAAUUCAGUGUCAGGUUCGCGCUUCUAUCAGAUUGGUGCUUUCUUCUGAGGAAACGAAAUCGGAAAGAAAAUGAAUAAAUUAGUCUUGGUUACUCUGCUGUCAUUAUCUGUUUUCCUAUGCCAGACACAUGGUUUGGGCAUCCAGAAUAUUAUCUGCAGCACCCAGUGCAGGUUACGGUUUAACCAUUGCAUAGACAAAUGCGUUUUGGAGAAUGGAAUCAUGAAAGAUUACGACAAUGGAUAUGAAGAUUGCACGCUCAUAUGUACUCAGUACCUCUCCCAGUGCACGUGUUCCAUGUCAUACAGAUAGGAUAUGAGCCUCGGAGAAUGGUCUCGGUGAAAAUUUAUCCACAUUCCUAGCGCUAUAUAUCCUGUUUUACAAGAAUAGAAUUCAUAUAACUUUACUGCAAAUUGAGGAACUUAUUUCAAUGUAUUUAUAUAAUAUUUGAAUGAAAAUCAGUUAAAUGAUAAGACUUUCAAUGCAUUUAUGUUUCGUUUUAAUGAAAAUCAGUUUAAUGAUAAGACUCUGGUGCUACAGAUCACAUUGUUGCUCAGAGCUUAUAUCUGUAUUGAGCCUGUAUACUAAUAAACAAGAGCGCUUGGAA